CCCUCUCUCUCCUAACAGUAAUGCAAUUACCUAAGCGAUCCUGCGGUCGUGACGUCACAAAUCAGUCCCGAACUCUCUUCGCUUUCCCCCAAACCACGGAGGAGAGAAAUUGUCUUGACAAAGUCUCCCCCUUUUUUUAGUUCCCCCCAAUUUUUCCAAUCCAUUUCACACAGAAAGGGGGGGGUCUAGGGAUUACAUACACACAAACACUUCGUAUAUAUAAUAAUCCAUUCGAGGUUUCCUCCUCUCUCUCUCUCUUUUGUUUUAUUACUUUAUUUGGGUUUUUUUUUUUUGGUAAAUUUAUUUUUAUUUUGUGUUGUUUGAAGCAGGAAUACAACAACAACAAUUAGAAAGUCUUGUAAGGUAAGUAAAGGAAUUGGUUUGUUCUCUUGGCAUGCGUGCUAAUGUUUAUACCAUCUUGAACAACACAACAGCCUACACCCCCACCUCUUGUAUAUAUAUAUGUAUAUAUAUAUAAAUAUUACACGUACACAUUAUAUUUGUAAUAUACACAGACAUAUUUAUAUAUAUGAAUAGGGACAUGUAUAUAUAUACACACAUCUAUAUCUGGUACAUAUCUAUCUAUGAUCAGUUUGUUAAUUGUUUUGAUAUAUACAUAUGUAUAUAUAGACAUAUGUACAUGUAUAUAUAUAUAUAUAUACAUAUGUACAUGUAUAUAUAUAUAUAGACAUAUGUACAUGUAUAUAUAUAUAGACAUAUGUAUAUAUAUAUAUAGACCUGUGUACAUGUAUAUAUAUAUAUAUAUAUAUAUAUAUAUAUAUAGACAUAUGUACAUGUGUAUAUAUAUAUAUACAUAUAGACAUAUGUACAUGUAUAUAUAUAUAUAUGUGUGUGUAAAUAUAUACAUAUAUAGACAUAUGUACAUGUAUAUAUAUAUAUAUGUAAAUAUAUAUAUAUAUAGACAUAUGUACAUGUAUAUAUAUAUAUAUAUAGACAUAUGUAUAUAUAUAGACAUAUGUACAUGUAUAUAUAUAUAUGUAAAUAUAUACAUAGAGACAUAUGUACAUGUAUAUAUAUAUAUUUAUAUACACACACAUCUAUAUCUAUCUAUCUAUGGUCAGUUUGUCACUAGAGUUUUGAUAACCCACUUUAAUAAAUAGCCAAAGCUGAUGUAAUUUUGUUCGUUUUGCUAAUGUAAGGGCAAUUAUUAAUAUAUUUAAAUUUCGCUUCUUUAUCAUCAUUAUCAUCAUCAUUAUUUGUUAUUUUACUGUUUACACGCUUUCCUGUACCCUUGCCACAUUGCACAGAAUCGUCCUGAACCGACCUCGAGCUGGGGGUUUUGUUUUUGUUUUUGCCAAACCCUUUCUGUUCUUCAUAAAACCAUUAUUUUUUUUGUUGCUAAGUACUGACUUUCUCAGUUUUUUAUUUCCGUCGAUGUCGACUUUGGCUUUUAUUUCUUUCUUUUGUUUAUCAUUCCUUCCCUAAUUUAAAUCGACCAAAAAAGCAUGGACGGGAGCCUGUCAAACCAUCCCUUACAAUUUUUUGACAGCUUGUAAAAUCAGAAAUCAAUUAGUGUUAGAACCCUCCCUUAUUCAAAUGUCGCCGAUGUCUACUUUUUCCCUUCUUUGAUCCUUCAAGCUAUCAGUGACAUAACCCCAAGUAACCAGUCAACUUGCCUGGAUAUCGAUUUAAUGAGGUGAAAGCCCCUUUCUCCCAGCGCUAAAUUGUACUUGUUAAUUAAUAAUCAUUUAUUUUAAUUAUACUUAAAUAUCAUUAGUGAAUUUCCUCGGAGAUCGACUUUGCCUCUAAUUCUUCCGAGGUCGGAGAAAAAAAAUCCACGAAGUCCUGGAGACUGUCGUAAAUUCUACCAAACUGUCCCGUUUCCUCGUAGUCUUGGAUUUUUUACAAUAUCCUCCAAAUUCUUGGUGGCGGUGUUCAUAUCCUUCUUGAAGAUUCACUUUUAUUGUUCAACAUCCUUUUCGGAGCUGUGGAUAACAUGAAGAACCAACCAAGCACUGUUCUAGUUUUAGAGCUGGGGCAUUAUUUCCAUCCUUUUUAUCUUCUCCUCGCCGGAACCUUUGAUGCCUUCCUUGUGUGUGUAAUCAUUAUUAUUCGUGUUAUGUCUGUUAUUAAAAUUAAUCGGCGACAUUUCUUCCGGUUUUACCGUUCCUGAGUUCAUUUUCCGUCGUGGUCCACUUUGCCUUCCAUUCUUUCGGUCGGGAUCGAUAAAGUAAAUACAAGUUGAUCCCUGGGGGGUCGAUGUAAUCGACUAGUCCCCUCUCCGCAAAAUAUCAGAUUUUGUUCCUUUAGUUUAAAAUAAUAAUUAUUAUUAAUAUUUCUCUCGUUUCGCCUCAAGUUCUAAGCUUAAUGUUCAAUUUAUUUUGACAAAGUAUGGAUGCCCAAAAGAAUCGCUUUUUGUUGUUAAUUGUUCAUAGAAUUGGAAACUCUGUGAAGUUUAUUAGAAUUAAUUCGUCUUCGUGGAUUAGUUUCUUUCUUCGCUAUUAAAUUAAAUUAAGGUAUUAGAAAUAAUAAGACGUUUAUGGAAAUUACUGAUUUUCAUUUUCGCUUUGGUGGUCGCAUCUUCGAAGGAAUGCCUAAAUUAAAUUAUUUCCGUUUUCCCAAAGAAACAUUCAUUUGUAAUGUUAGUUUUAAUUACGUCUACCCUGACCGCCUCCACGUUUGACAUUUUUUCUUUUAUUUUCCUUUCCUCAGC
rnacentral:lncRNA from 1 species